AAAAAAACAAACCGUGGGUUCCCGUGCCAACGUUUGACUGUCCGUCUUAUGUGAAAUUUUUUAUAGUUAGUACUUUCAUUGUUGUUAGAUGAUAAAACAUGAUUAAUACUUUAUGCGUGACUUAUCUUUUUAAUUUUUUUAAAUAAGACGGACGGUUAAACGUUGGACACGGAAACCAGGGUUUGUCUUUUU
rnacentral:pre_miRNA from 1 species